rnacentral:lncRNA from 1 species
AUGUGGCGUGUUGUGGAGCCCGUCGUCGCGUCGCCCUUCUGGGAGCUGCUGGCGCUGCUGCGGGGGGAGCCCGACAUGGGGCGGCUGCUGUGCGGCCUGAGGGGCUGGCCCCGGUCGGGGGAGAUCGUCGGAGCUGAGUCUGGUGGCGUCGGGGAAGCUGGUGAACUCUGCCAUGUUCCUGAAACACAGCCCUUAGGCCCUUUGCCUCUGAGGACCCUGCUGUUACUGGAGCACUCAAGAGAUAGACACCAGUGGCAAAUCUACUAUGAGGGCCUGAAGAAUUUUCUUGUCUUUAGAGAAAGCGUGGCACAGCCUGCAGUUUGGCCAGUUCCAGUGGACCAAGUGAGAGAGUUCUUGGUUGCCAUGGAGUCCCAGGAUCUGCCUCCUGCAAAACUAAUAAUGUACAUGGAAGGACUGUCCUUCAUCUCCAGAAUGGUAGAUCAUCCUGAUCCUCUUCAGGACCCUGUUAUCUGUCAUAUGAUAUCAAAGUUGAAACAUAGGACUGGCCCUUCAAAGGAUAAAUGCUCUCCUGUAACUAUUGAAGUGCUAAGAUCUCUCCUGGGGACUCUGGAGUCUGUGUGCAGCUCUCCUUACGAGUGUAUAUUGUUCCGUGCCCUAUUUACUGUGGCUUUUUUUGGGGCACUCUGCAUAGAAGAGAUGGUGGUGGAUGACCAAAGCGUAGCGCAACCAAAACUCCUGUACUUGAGUGAUCUCCAGCUGACUGAAGGGAGUGCAAGCCUUUGUUUGCAUGCACCUCAUAUGGACCAAGAGAGAUCUUUGAUCAAACUGGGACUUUCUAGGGAGAUGUGGGUGUGUCCUAUUGAAGCUCUCCAUAUCUAUGUGGCAGUGCGGCCACAAGGAGAGGGUCCUCUCUUUGUGCAUUUGGAUAGUAGGCCUGUGAUGAAGAGGGAGUUUCUAACAGUCUUCCGCUGUGCUCUUGGACUUGCUGGACGUCCUCCAAACCAGUAUGGUGUGCAUUCCUUCUGGUUGGGGGCUGUUGUAACAGCAGUAUGGCAUGGGUAUUCUGAUGAAGCUAUUAACAGAAUAGCAAGGUGGUGAGGAAAAAUCAUGAAAAUCCUGAAGAGGACAUAGAGCUAUCCAUUGGGCUUCUGUGGUAAGGGAUAUCUUCUGCAAUGCAGAAUACAGUCUCAGUGCUCUAAAGCUGCAGAAAGGUUGGAGUAACUAGUACAAGGUGACUUUUUUCACCCAACAUGGUUGAGACUGGUGUGUCUUGUUUUUCAAACUGCUAUGGUUGGUGAACUAAUUAAUAUGCAUGCUAUUUAGCAUAUUUGUUCUGUGUAUUGGCCUUAUGUAAUCUUUUAUUAAACUGAUUUUAAUGAGCUCUUUGAGUCUUUUUUACUGCCCUGGCUGAAGGCUAUUAGCGCAGUGGUGAUGUGUGGACUUGGUACAAGUGUGCAUCCCUUUUGCAGUCUAUAAGAAUGAGAAGAAAAUCUAGCUGAUGGCUGGUGACUGGCAGCUGCGAAUAUGGGGGGAGUUCAGCUGCUCACUGUGACACAGAGGGAUGUUGGUGUUGUUCAGGCAGCAGUUCUGUAGCAGCUGCAUUCAACCUAAACAGCUGCUGCUGCUGUCUCAGUCUAUCUACAUGGGCCUGCCCCUUGACAAUUAUUAAGAUCCUUCACUGAGCCCUCUUCAAAGGGUGUAUAGGACCCAGAUACUGACCACAAGAAGCCUUAAAUUGAAAUGAACCUAAAUUAUCACAGGUGACCUUGCUUGGUUCCAAGGAUCCCUUGUAGCAGAGAACAUUUUGUCAGCUCUUACAUAAAUAACCCUCAUCCUCUAAUUGGGGCACUUCUUAAAGAUUUCAUACAGAUUAAAUCACUUAUCUGUGAAGCAGGAUCAUAAGGUUGAAUGUCACCUUCUGUUAACAGCAAGGGUGUUUGAAGUAAUGGCAUCUUCUCGUGUGUCAUGUGUUCAGGAGCUGCCUAGGUGACAACUAACUAUGGAGAAAAUAACCAAUGUAAUACUGAAUUUCCAUGUCAGGGAAAAGUGACUGCAAGACCCAUUUUGCUGCCCCUUGUGUUACCAGGAAGGUACUGAUGUACAUCACACAAGCACAGCAGGUAACCAAGGCAGCACUGGGGACAGUGACUUUGAGGCUGUCCUCAGGAGUGCAGUUGAAUGUUCUGUCCUUACCCAGCAAGUCUCUAUUAAAUCAAACUAUGAACUGGUAGUCUGUUAGAGCUGUGAGGGGAAAAUGCUUUUAGAGAGGAUUUAGGGCUUGCUAUGAUCGAUUCAAAGUUAGGAAAGCCUCUUGGGAUGUCCCUGCUGAUGUUGGUGAUGCCAAGGGAACAGGGAAGAAAGUUACGGAAGAGGAACGAACCUUGCAAAAAUCGGUUGAAUAACUGCACAGAGCAGCUGUCCCAGAAAGGUUUCUUAUCAGCUGUGUAAGUAGGUUCCAAGUAGCAAAAGGUUACUCCUGGCAGGGAAAAGAGCUUCCGAACAAAUGUGUAAAAGCUGUGCUGAACCUACAGGUUCACGUUUGCUCAGCAGCAAUACCAGCUUACACCACUUUGCGUCCACUGCUAUUUAUUCCCUCCCUGUGGAGUCUCCCUCAGCUAGUACGCUUUGCUUGGCUAAAUCUGGAGCAAAUAUAAAAACAACCUCAGGUUAAAACUAGUUGGAUUAACUUUAUCAUGUAGUCCAACAAAAUGCUGUACUGGCCCAGCUGAGGCCAAGUAAGAAAAUGGUAUAGGUUGGUUCUCCUCCCAAAGAAAGUUUUCAUCAAAUUACAUCCUGAAAAUGUUUCUGUGAAAUAGUCAUCCUAUGGUACAACCACCAAUAGCUUUUAUUAGUGUGUAUCCCGAGACUCUGUUACUGCAGCAACAACUCGUGGAUAGCAAAGCCAGCCACGGAAAAGCAAAAUUGCCUUUAAGUGAUGUAUUGUUAAAACUUCCAAGCAGAUUUCACUGCACAGCUGCUAGGCGUUGUGCAGAUCAGUGAUGAAGUUUUGUGUCAUAGCACAAAAAAUUGUGUAAUCUAAUGGCACCAAGAUGCAGCCACUUCCUAAUGAAAGGAAAUCAAUUGACUACCUAAGCGGACAAAUUUAAUCUUGUUAUACCGUAUGAGUGUGACCAGAUAGAGCCACUUUACUGGUAAAUACCUGUUCUUCUUUUUCCAUGCUCAGCCUCUAAGAAGAGUGAGGCAAAAUCUUGUGUAAACAUGAUCCUUAAAAAUUCCCUGUAAAUGAAUGCAAAGACUAGAGGUAGAAAGCAAACUCCUUAUGGAGAUCAAGCAUGAGGCACUGCAUCCUCCCAGCUUUGGUUGUGGAGAACUCGGACCUUAAAAUUAUUAACGCCUUUUGUGUUAAUUUCACACGUGCAUUCUGCAUUGGGCAUUUAUAAAGAUACCUAAUCCUCUAGCUACAAAUUCCAAUAGUGUUAUGCAGGCAGCACCCCAAUUUCCCGUAUAAGACACUUGUUUAGAUUUAUUCAGCUCUUUACUUCCUGGCACGUUCCCCUCAUUCCUCCAGAAACUCAGAUUUACUUUAAGACCGUGCCAGAUAGAUACCGAGCCUGACAUCUCAGCUUGGCUUUCACCGCAGCACACCGUAGCAUUAGCUGCCCGGCCAAUCCACGUUGCAGCCGGUCCUCUCAUCCGCCAUCACGCGACAGCACGAGCUCUCCUGUCCUCACACUACAGGCACGUGGUGCAAGGUUUGCUUGCUACCAGUCUUUGGGAUAAAAGCCUUUAGGGGCUUAAAAAACAAAGAUCAUAGAGUAUGCUACUAAAGUAUAACACUGUCGGUCAUGUGAUAGAAUAAACGUGCACGUGUAAUCGUUGUGCUCUGCA